UAGCACAUUCUGUUUUCUGGGUUGGAA
rnacentral:piRNA from 1 species